GUGCUCGCUUCGGCAGCACGUAUGCUAAAAUUGGAGCUAUAUGGAGAUAAGCAUGGCCGUGCGUGAAGAUGACAGUACUUAUUUUGGUAAAACUUUUGU
ensembl:snRNA U6 U6 spliceosomal RNA